rnacentral:tRNA from 1 species
GCUGCUGUAGCUCAGUGGUAGAGCACCUCAUUGGUAAUGAGGAGGUCAUGGGUUCAAGUCCCAUCAGCAGCU